rnacentral:piRNA from 1 species
UCAUCCAAGGACAAUGCGGAU